UACGGGGGGGGCAAGCGUUGUUCGGAAUCAUUGGGCGUAAAGCGCGUGUAGGCGGUCCGGCAAGUCCGCUGUGAAAGUCGGGGGCUCAACCCUCGGAUGCCGGUGGAUACUGUCGGGCUUGAGUACGGAAGAGGCGAGUGGAAUUCCUGGUGUAGCGGUGAAAUGCGCAGAUAUCAGGAGGAACACCAAUUGCGAAGGCAGCUCGCUGGGACGUUACUGACGCUGAGACGCGAAAGCGUGGGGAGCAAACAGG
rnacentral:rRNA from 1 species